rnacentral:misc_RNA from 1 species
UAAGCCAUCGGCGAGUAGAAGCACCAGUGAGCGCCGAUUGCUCGGAUUCAGGUGGGGGAUCAGGGGUGUUCAUCGGAGUACAUUGUACUUGGGGCUAGUUUUUCCCAAGCGUCUGGAACAAGCAGUGGUGGCCAUGGUGCAGCUAGUUCUUGAAUCUAUGCUGAAAUUGAGAAGUGGAUGUACGCCGCCGCAAGAAGACAGCGUAACCCCGCCUGCUGAUGUGGCCGUUCAUGCGACCCAGUCGAUUGUGCCUUGGCAUGCUGAUUGGGAGCUUCGGGUGGACGUGCCGAUGGACCUUGAAGCCACGCGAUGCUGGUUGGAGGUCUGAACUAGGGCGCUGCUCACCGACGCGUGGCCGCCACGGCUGGGUGUGCGCCGCCGUCCUGGUUGUCGUGGGGGAGAAGAUGCAUGGGGGCUGUUAGAUAUACAUCUUGCGGUGUGGAUUAGGUUGGCCCUUUCUAGUCGAUGUGCGGCUCUGGGCGGCUGAUCCUUGGAUCGACGGAUCAGGUUGGAUCUCG